rnacentral:tRNA from 3 species
CGGAGCGUGGCGCAGCCUGGUAGCGCACUUGCAUGGGGUGCAAGGGGUCCCGAGUUCGAAUCUCGGCGCUCCGACCA